AUUGAACGCUGGCGGCAGGCCUAACACAUGCAAGUCGAGCGGAUGAAGGGAGCUUGCUCCUGGAUUCAGCGGCGGACGGGUGAGUAAUGCCUAGGAAUCUGCCUGGUAGUGGGGGAUAACGUCCGGAAACGGGCGCUAAUACCGCAUACGUCCUGAGGGCGAACGUGGGGGAUCUUCGGACCUCACGCUAUCAGAUGAGCCUAGGUCGGAUUAGCUAGUUGGUGGGGUAAAGGCCUACCAAGGCGACGAUCCGUAACUGGUCUGAGAGGAUGAUCAGUCACACUGGAACUGAGACACGGUCCAGACUCCUACGGGAGGCAGCAGUGGGGAAUAUUGGACAAUGGGCGAAAGCCUGAUCCAGCCAUGCCGCGUGUGUGAAGAAGGUCUUCGGAUUGUAAAGCACUUUAGGUUGGGAGGAAGGGCAGUAAGUUAAUACCUUGCUGUUUUGACGGUACCAACAGAAUAAGCACCGGCUAACUUCGUG
rnacentral:rRNA from 1 species